CUUGCUUAGUUUCUCAUUCUCACAUACACACCACAGAAACACACGUGUAUAGCCACUGCCUGCUAAAGAGGUAGCCUGAUACCCCACAACUUGGUGACCAGAUCCAAGCCUGUAAUUGAGAGCCAUGCAUCACGUUGGGCUACAGUGUCUCUGUUAUGUGGACCCACACAUGACAGAUAGAACUUGCACUCCAGCACGUUUCCCUCUGUGGUGUCGUCUUCGCCUCCUCCAUGCGCUAUAGAGUGCAGCCGCUCCACUAAACCUUGAAAAAUGCUCCACCGGGAUAGAAGCCGUUUUUGCCAGGAUCCAUGCACUGCAGUUCCUCUUUUGGACCAUGGGUGGCGCCUUGCACCUUGUAUCUCCCUCUCCCCCUCUUCUCGCCAGCAAUCAGCAUCGCCUGUGCCGUGCACCUGUCUUCAAGCACCACUGAUUACUGCCUGCAUUUAAGCCUGUCAAGUCCAGCAAGCCUUCGCCUGAGUGUUGACACUGUGACUCACUGGCCGAUUGUACCUUCUGUACCUUCCCCGCCUCGCUGCCUGCUCCAGCGAUGCCGCCAAGCCACACCACUUGCUCAUGGCUAACCUGCAAUAAAUCAUUCUAAAUCUACUCCCUC